ACUUACCGGGGAAUAUCUUUGAGGCUUGUUGGCAACACUGUGUGUGAUGCUUUUGCACAGAGACACCAUAAACACGUGGCCGGGCUAGCUUAAGCCUUGGAUGGUGCUUGGGUUUCCUCCCUCAACUAUCUGGGAUUUUGAGGCUCCUCCAGAAGAAGAAGGUAUCAAGUUCUAAAAGAUUCUGAAGUUUUACACGGAGAAAGAGGUGAUGCCAUGGCAGCUGUUCCAACACCACCACCACCACCCAUAGCAGAUACCAAGGACCCACUGUACAGUUAUAUCCAGGCUGCUUCUCUGGAAGCUCUUUUCUUCUGCCUCUUUGGUUUCCCACAAGAUAAAUGAGGAGCAAACACCUGGCCUACUACACAUGCAGUAGAAUGAGAUGAUAGGAGCCUCAAUUACUACAAUGCACCUUGCUCCACAGAUAUGAGAUGUUUUUGUACAAGAGAGAGAGAAUCCUCC